CGCAUUCUUCAUCAUCAGCCGCUUUCACCUUCAUCUCGCUGUUCUACUGGUUUACAGCAGAAAUUCCUGCAGAGUCGUCGGAAUUGGCCGCCGGAGGUCGCUAUACGGUCGAUAUGUGGCCGAUAAGUGCCAACAGGAAAAAAGGGGGGGUUUACAUUGAGGAAUGUAGGGAGGAUGAUCGGCGUUGAUAAAGCUAACCGGCGCUGCAAUUUGAGCGUCCAUGUUGUUGAAUACAUCUCUAAACAUGAAAACAACAAAAGAUUAACCAUCAUAGAACACGUUCUAGGGUUUCGGAAAGGGGGGAGUAAUAAUAAUAAUACCUGAAGGGUUUCGAUUGCUGAAGGUAGUUGUGGAAUUGGUGAUGUUCAGGCAUAGCCAUGCCUGGAUGAGUGCGAAACCAGAAGAGAGAGGGUUGAAGGGAUUACGCAGGUUUCUUCUAAUUGUAAUUGCUCCCAACAAACCUUUGCUGAUGAGGGUUCCUUUUGUAAUGGCAAAAUGGUCCUUCUAGAUGUUAAUUCAUUUCCUUGUAAUUUUGCAUAAGCACUUGUAAGAAUGGGAUUACAUAUUUUGUGAUGUCUUAUCACAUUCUUUAACUUUGAUUUAUGAAUUUUAUAUAUUUUGGUGUGAA